UACGUAGGGUGCAAGCGUUGUCCGGAAUUAUUGGGCGUAAAGAGCUCGUAGGCGGUUUGUUGCGUCGGCUGUGAAAUCCCGAGGCUCAACCUCGGGUCUGCAGUCGAUACGAGCAAACUAGAGUGUUGCAGGGGAGACUGGAAUUCCUGGUGUAGCGGUGAAAUGACGCAGAUAGUCUGGAGGAACACCGGUGGCGAAGGCGGCAUCCUGGACCGGUAUUGACGGCUGAGGCGCGAAAGCCAGGGGAGCAAAGCGGG
rnacentral:rRNA from 1 species